ACCGAAGUCUGCAGACUCUAGGUAAUGAUCCUUCCGUAGGUGAACCUGCGGAAGGAUCAUUACCUAGAGUCUGCAGACUUCGGUCUGCUACCUCUUACCCAUGUCUUUUGAGUACCUUCGUUUCCUCGGCGGGUCCGCCCGCCGGUUGGACAACAUUCAAACCCUUUGCAGUUGCAAUCAGCGUCUGAAAAAACAUAAUAGUUACAACUUUCAACAACGGAUCUCUUGGUUCUGGCAUCGAUGAAGAACGCAGCGAAAUGCGAUAAGUAGUGUGAAUUGCAGAAUUCAGUGAAUCAUCGAAUCUUUGAACGCACAUUGCGCCCCUUGGUAUUCCAUGGGGCAUGCCUGUUCGAGCGUCAUUUGUACCUUCAAGCUCUGCUUGGUGUUGGGUGUUUUGUCUCGCCUCUGCGUGUAGACUCGCCUUAAAACAAUUGGCAGCCGGCGUAUUGAUUUCGGAGCGCAGUACAUCUCGCGCUUUGCACUCAUAACGACGACGUCCAAAAGUACAUUUUUACACUCUUGACCUCGGAUCAGGUAGGGAUACCCGCUGAACUUAAGCAUAUCAAUAAGCGGGAGGAAAAUCAUUACCUAGAGUCUGCAGACUUCGGUCUGCUACCUCUUACCCAUGUCUUUUAGAGUACCUUCGUUUCCUCGGCGGGUCCCCCGCCGGUUGGACAACAUUCAAACCCUUUGCAGUUGCAAUCAGCGUCUGAAAAAACAUAAUAGGUUACAACUUUCACAACGGAUCUCUUGGGUUCUGGCAUCGAUGAAAAAACGCACCCAAAUGCGAUAAAAUAGUUGUGGAAUUUGCAGAAAUUCAGUGGAAUCAUCAAAUCUUU
rnacentral:rRNA from 1 species